rnacentral:rRNA from 1 species
UACGUAGGGUGCAAACGUUGCUCGGAAUCAUUGGGCGUAAAGCGCACGUAGGCGGUUCGUUAUGUCGGAUGUGAAAGCCCUUGGCUUAACCGAGGAAGUGCAUCCGAAACUGGCGAGCUAGAGUACGAAAGAGGAUCGCGGAAUUCCCGGUGUAGAGGUGAAAUUCGUAGAUAUCGGGAGGAACACCGGUGGCGAAGGCGGCGAUCUGGGUCGAUACUGACGCUGAGGUGCGAAAGCGUGGGGAGCAAACAGG